AUUGAACGCUGGCGGCAUGCUUUACACAUGCAAGUCGAACGGUAACAGGGUGCUUGCACCGCUGACGAGUGGCGAACGGGUGAGUAAUGCAUCGGAAUGUACCGUGUAAUGGGGGAUAGCUCGGCGAAAGCCGGAUUAAUACCGCAUACGCCCUGAGGGGGAAAGUGGGGGACCGAAAGGCCUCACGUUAUACGAGCAGCCGAUGUCUGAUUAGCUAGUUGGUGAGGUAAAGGCUCACCAAGGCGGCGAUCAGUAGCGGGUCUGAGAGGAUGAUCCGCCACACUGGGACUGAGACACGGCCCAGACUCCUACGGGAGGCAGCAGUGGGGAAUUUUGGACAAUGGGCGCAAGCCUGAUCCAGCCAUGCCGCGUGUCUGAAGAAGGCCUUCGGGUUGUAAAGGACUUUUGUCCGGGAGCAAAUCCUAGUGGUUAAUAACCGCUGGGUCUGAGAGUACCGGAAGAAUAAGCACCGGCUAACUACGUG
rnacentral:rRNA from 1 species